rnacentral:rRNA from 1 species
AUUGAACGCUGGCGGCGUGCCUAAUACAUGCAAGUAGGACGCAGUUGCGAACGGGUGAGUAACGCGUAGGUAACUACCUAUUAGAGGGGGAUAACUAUUGGAAACGAUAGCUAAUACCGCAUACUAGUAGAUGGACCUGCGUUGUAUUAGGUAGGAGGUAGGGUAAUGGCCUACCUAGGCAACGAUACAUAGCCGACCUGGUAGGGGGGUCGGCCAAAACGGGGAUUGUAAAAGGCCCAGACGCCUACGGGAGGCAGCAGUAGGGAAUCUUCGGCAAUGGGGGGAACCCUGAACGAGCAACGCCCCGGGAGUGAAGAAGGUUUUCGGAUCGUAAAGCUCUGUUGUUAAGGAAGCGGUACUUAACCAGAAAGGGACGGCUAACUACGUGCCAGCAGCCGCGGUAAUAC